UACGUAGGGUGCGAGCGUUAAUCGGAAUUACUGGGCGUAAAGGGUGCGCAGGCUGAUAUACAAGUUAGAUGUGAAAUACCAGAGCUUAACUGUGGAGUUGCAUUUAAGACUGUAUGUCUAGAGUUAGUAAGAGGAUGGGGGAAUUCCGAGUGUAGCAGUGAAAUGCGUAGAUAUUCGGAGGAACACCGGUGGCGAAGGCGCCCAUCUGGGAUAUAACUGACGCUCAUGCACGAAAGCGUGGGGAGCAAACAGG
rnacentral:rRNA from 1 species